rnacentral:lncRNA from 1 species
UCCAAAGUUUAUAUAAGUACAAAUCAAAAUUUAAACUAUAUUAACCUAUUACAUAACUUUUAAAGUCUAUUUGACUAUUAAAUACAACAAUCCAAACAUGUACAAUUCAAGGAGGAAAUGCAGGAAUAUUUUUCAUUUCAUUUUCACCUCAAGGCUACACCAAGUCAAGUUCAUAUAUGUACCUGGAAUUACAAUGAAACAAAGGAUAAGGAAGAGGUCAGCAGUAUAGCAACAAGAAUCAGCAGUUGAAAUCCAACAGCAACACAAUAAUCAGAUCAAUUAGAAACCCAAAUUGAUAUCAUUGCAACCUAGGACAUGGUUUCAGGCCAAUAAUACCAAUAACAGAUCAGAACAGCCUUAAUUGAACUCCAAACAAACUCGAAAUGAAUCCAAUAAACUUAUGAAGGUUUAGCACCUCAAACACAUAUCUUUCAGGUCAUUUUCAUCUUAUUUAGAUAGAAAUUCAAAUUGAUAGCUGAGAACUGGAACUAAUCUGAGGAAAAUACUCUAAUGAAACAGUAUUUUUUGAGAUUUUUGUGAAGAUUUUAGGAUUGAAAAGGACUCUCUCACCCUAAAUUUUGGCUUUGGCUUUUUUAAUUUAAAUUUUCCAGAGAUUUUCCAAGGGCUAAACUAGUGGGAAUUUUUUAGUUUUUUGGAUUUUUCUGAAGAUUUAGGAUCUAAAAGAACUUCCUUACUCUAAUUUUAGCUUUGACUUUUUGAAUUUAAAAUUCAAAAUUUCAGAAAUUUUCAGGGUUCUAAACUUCUUUUUAAUUUUCAGGAUCCCAAAACUUGUGAAAGAAGGCAAUGCCAUGCCUUUUUAUAGGCAAAAACUUAGGGCAACACUUUCUUAUUUUGUUUUACCUUUAGUCCCUCUCUGUUUUUCAGACUUUACUCAACUAGUCCCUCAUUUUCUAAAUUUUCCAUCAAGUCUUAACACCAAAUUACUAAAAUUCUAUUUUGAACCUCCAUCUAGAAGGUUCCAGGGGUUUACUGCAGGAUUCCUAUUAUCCAAAAACCUAUGCUACCCUUUUAUUUAUUCUAAAUUACCAACCAAAUUAAACCAACCCCCCAACCUUAUUACCUUAGUCAAAAUAUAACCAUAGUUAACCAAUUGAAGCCUAGAUACUCAACUAUAUCUAAAACAAUUGAACUAGAGACCCUAACCACUGAACUAAUCCACCAAAGCUGGAAAUAGAAUUUAAUUAAUACUAAUAUCCUAGGGUUAACCUAAAUUGGACUGAUGACCUAUAGAAAAACAAAUAGGUUUGAAGUUAACAAUCAAAUUAAUUUCAUAUAACAAAGCAACAAUCAUGGAUUGAGAACAAACAUGAGUUGAAUCAACAAAAGAAUGAAAUCCUUAGCAUGCAAGUCAAACCAAAACAAAAUAGAGCUAGCAGAACAGAAAUCAGCUAAAACUGUGAGUUCCUAAAUUAAUUGACAUGAAGAAGAAUUAAUUUAAUGAUAGGAAACCCUGUUGAUUUAGAACGGACAAUCUCAGAACCCAAACUAAAGCCCAGAACCCUAAUAACAAAAUUAAAUGGCCAAAUUUGUGCUAUCUAUUAGUAGAACUCAAAGCCUACUAAGUGAACAAAUAAUAAAAGGGAAGAACGACCUUAAUUACUGAACCUAACGAAUUGGUAGGUAAAAAAAUUAAAAUAAAAACCAAAUCAAUUAACUCGUGAAACAGAAGAAGUCAUUAGAAAGGAAUUAACAUAAAAAACAACAAAACAAAAAAAAGACAAGGGAACUCACUGAUGUGUUUUAAAAUGUUGUCGUUUCUUUGAUUUGAGAUUCGAGCGUUUCCGGCGGGAUUCGAAGACUACUGGUGGGGAGUUUGGCACGAGGGAAGCGAGGAGGUUGCAUGGUGUCGAUUUUAGUGAACUCUGGAGGAUUGAGGUUUUGUCCAGAAUUUCAAUUGGAUAUUCGAGGGAAUUGUCUAAGGUUUGAAGAAAACUAAGGCUGGAUCUGUUAUGGGGAUGAGAUGGGGAGCAUAAGGUGUUAUUUUGAAGUGCUUUGGCGGUGGCGCUGCCAUAGGUGGCGGAGCAUCCACUACUUUAAUUGAAGAUUCGAGAAGAUGGGUUGUUGUUCGAAGAGAACCAGUCACGAAUUCAGAAAGGGGAGAAGAAGGAGAUUCAGGGGUGUAUUUUUUUGGUUGAUUGGAGCAUCGCCGCCGCCGCCGCCGGCGGACGACGGAGGGACGGUGGCUUUAAGGUUUCAGUGUUUGGACAAGGUAC